rnacentral:rRNA from 1 species
AGUGAACGCUGGCGGUAGGCCUAACACAUGCAAGUCGAACGGCAGCACAGUAAGAGCUUGCUCUUACGGGUGGCGAGUGGUGGACGGGUGAGGAAUACAUCGGAAUCUACUUUUUCGUGGGGGAUAACGUAGGGAAACUUACGCUAAUACCGCCCCCGACCUACGGGUGAAAGCAGGGGAUCUUCGGACCUUGCGUGAUUGAAUGAGCCGAUGUCGGAUUAGCUAGUUGGCGGGGUAAAGGCCCACCAAGGCGACGAUCCGUAGCUGGUCUGAGAGGAUGAUCAGCCACACUGGAACUGAGACACGGUCCAGACUCCUACGGGAGGCAGCAGUGGGGAAUAUUGGACAAUGGGCGCAAGCCUGAUCCAGCCAUACCGCGUGGGUGAAGAAGGCCUUCGGGUUGUAAAGCCCUUUUGUUGGGAAAGAAAAGCAGCAGGUUAAUACCCCGCUGUUCUGACGGUACCCAAAGAAUAAGCACCGGCUAACUUCGUG